GCUAAAGUAGAAGAAGAAAUUAGGACAGAUAUAAAUAAUGGAUCAGGUGUAUAUGUAAAGCAUCCUGAUAAUUAUUUAAAUGGGGAGUGUGUUUCUGAAUCACCCCAUGAGAAAGAGUUAUCUGAAGUGGAAAAGGAGGCAUGGAAUUUACUUAGGGGAGCAGUUGUUAACUAUUGUGGCUUCCCCGUUGGGACUGGGGCAGCUAAUGAUCCAGCUGAUAAGCAGCCGCUUAACUACGAUCAAGUGUUUAUACGCGAUUUUGUCCCAUCAGCUCUUGCUUUUUUGCUGAAUGGAGAGGGGGAGAUUGUCAAGAAUUUUCUGCUCCACACUCUGCAACUGCAG
rnacentral:misc_RNA from 1 species